rnacentral:rRNA from 1 species
AACGAACGCUGGCGGCAUGCCUAACACAUGCAAGUCGAACGAAGUCUUCGGACUUAGUGGCGCACGGGUGCGUAACGCGUGGGAACCUGCCCUUGGGUGCGGAAUAACUUCUCGAAAGGGAUGCUAAUACCGCAUAAUGUCGUAAGACCAAAGAUUUAUCGCCCAAGGAUGAGCCCGCGUAAGAUUAGCUAGUUGGUGGGGUAAAAGCCUACCAAGGCGACGAUCUUUAGCUGGUCUGAGAGGAUGAUCAGCCACACUGGGACUGAGACACGGCCCAGACUCCUACGGGAGGCAGCAGUGGGGAAUAUUGGACAAUGGGCGAAAGCCUGAUCCAGCAAUGCCGCGUGAGUGAUGAAGGCCCUAGGGUUGUAAAGCUCUUUUACCAGGGAUGAUAAUGACAGUACCUGGAGAAUAAGCUCCGGCUAACUCCGUGCCAGCAGCCGCGGUAAU